rnacentral:lncRNA from 1 species
UCCAGAAAGCUUUAAUGUGUGUGGGAGUGUUCUGGGUCUACUAGGUCUGUGUGCAUGGGUGUGGGCAUUUGCCUGUGUCCACCGGGUCGGUCUCAUUAUGAAAUGUAUGUUUAUGUAGGGCUUUAAUGGCUGAAAAUGGCAAAGAGAUGAAUGGACCACUUGGCCCCAUGUGUACUUGCCAGGCCCCUUCUGUGCUCAAAUGAGGUGUCCGAGUGAAGGUCAGCCCUUCCCUUCUGUAUUUGGGGCCUAUUUAUGCCACCAGUAAUUUUACAAGAAACCUGAUUAUUUCUCCCCUUUGAGUGCAUUUAACUCUUUAAUAUCUUCCCUCUUACCUAUUUGAGCCCCUCUAGCUACAGUCUAUGGCUUAAAUGAAAGGGAAAUUAUAUGGUUAAGAAAAAGUAGGACACGGUUGAGGCAGUUUGCUGACUGAAUACGCAAAGAAGGCCCUGAUGGGCUCAUAUGCACCACCGCUAUCACAGUCCUCAUCGUGAUGCAAGCUUAUAUGAGUCUUGAGGUAAACUCUACCAGAUACUUCCGGAUUUAGAAAUGUAUCAAAGGAAAAAUUGGUGAUACUCUUCUUUCCCCUGCCAGAAACAGCCCAGAUCUCCGCUUAAGCGGAAAAGAGAUUGACCUUCUAGCAGAGGCAAAGAAUGGAGUCUUCUGGGGGCAGCUGCAAAGCGUUCUCCCUAGGACAGAUGGAGCCUCCCUUUCCUCAUCUACUCUGUGGGUGGUUUCAGGGCCCAUGAGUCAACAUGAGGAGUUGUGCUGGUGGUAUGUGUGUUGGAGGCUGGGCUGGCUGAUUCACAGUGACGAGGAUGUCAAUAAUAACAAUAAUGAGAAUGAUGGUACCUAAUAAAGACUUUUUUUCUCAA